GAUGAACGCUGGCGGCGUGCUUAACACAUGCAAGUCGAACGGAAAGGCCCAAGCUUGCUUGGGUACUCGAGUGGCGAACGGGUGAGUAACACGUGGGUGAUCUGCCCUGCACUUCGGGAUAAGCCUGGGAAACUGGGUCUAAUACCGGAUAGGACGAUGGUUUGGAUGCCAUUGUGGAAAGUUUUUUCGGUGUGGGAUGAGCUCGCGGCCUAUCAGCUUGUUGGUGGGGUAAUGGCCUACCAAGGCGUCGACGGGUAGCCGGCCUGAGAGGGUGUACGGCCACAUUGGGCCUGAGAUACGGCCCAGACUCCUACGGGGGGCAGCAGUGGGGAAUAUUGCACAAUGGGCGCAAGCCUGAUGCAGCGACGCCGCGUGGGGGAUGACGGCCUUCGGGUUGUAAACUCCUUUCGCUAGGGACGAAGCGUUUUUGUGACGGUACCUGGAGAAGAAGCACCGGCUAACUACGUG
rnacentral:rRNA from 1 species